rnacentral:rRNA from 1 species
UGGCGGCAUGCCUUACACAUGCAAGUCGAACGGCAGCGGACCUUCGGGUGCCGGCGAGUGGCGAACGGGUGAGUAAUAUAUCGGAACGUUACCUUCAGGUGGGGGAUAACGUAGCGAAAGUUACGCUAAUACCGCAUAUUCUGUGAGCAGGAAAGCAGGGGGAUCGCAAGACCUUGCGCUGAUUGAGCGGCCGAUAUCAGAUUAGCUAGUUGGUGAGGUAAAGGCUCACCAAGGCGACGAUCUGUAGCGGGUCUGAGAGGAUGAUCCGCCACACUGGAACUGAGACACGGUCCAGACUCCUACGGGAGGCAGCAGUGGGGAAUUUUGGACAAUGGGCGCAAGCCUGAUCCAGCCAUGCCGCGUGAGUGAAGAAGGCCUUCGGGUUGUAAAGCUCUUUCGGCCGGGAAGAAAUCGCACGGGUUAAUACCCUGUGUGGAUGACGGUACCGGAAUAAGAAGCACCGGCUAACUACGUG